AAAUGACUCUCGGCAACGGAUAUCUCGGCUCUCGCAUCGAUGAAGAACGUAGCGAAAUGCGAUACUUGGUGUGAAUUGCAGAAUCCCGUGAACCAUCGAGUCUUUGAACGCAAGUUGCGCCCAAAGCCAUUAGGCCGAGGGCACGUCCGCCUGGGUGU
rnacentral:rRNA from 3 species